CCUGAAUUAACAUACCCUCUGUAAUCCUUUCAAACACUGUAUAUAUAACAACAUACACAUACUCUGAACUGGAUCAGAAGUUCAGAUGAUCAGUAACUCUUUUCCAUCCCAUCUCUCUUCUCCACAGGUCCUCAGCACCAAAAAAAAAAAAAAAAAAAAAGGACUCACCUUUAAAAAACAAAUUAAUAAGAGUUUACCAUUAAAGUAAGGAUGAUGAGCAGAGCUGUCAGAGUAACCCAAGAUGUAGAGUUACCUGAUACCUUAGAAUCUCAGCUGAAACUUCCAGUUUAACAUUCCAUUUCACCUGGAUGAAGAGAUUUAAACAGGAGUGUACACCAGGGAUUGGCUCUGAGACAUUCUUAUGAAAACAACCUGAUAAAUGAUUCAGAGAAAUUUGGACAUUCAUCCUAAAUCCACAUCCUGAAGGAAUCAAGGCCCUCCUAGAGAGGCUAUAUCUUUGGAUACUUCAAAACCAAUUUGGCAUCUGCUCAUUCUCUGAGUUUCAGGUAAAUGCAAGCAUUAUACAGUUGCCAUGAAAAACUUGUUUAGAUGCAGUUUCCUAACUUCUUCCCUAUCUCAUUCUCUCUCUAGCAAGUGGAAAGAAACUGCUGGAGGAGAUAAGAAAGACAUCACCCUCCUCCAUUUUGCCUUCUCCUCACUCUUCUGUGAGCUCACUCACAAUCCAAACAGGCAGAGAGAGCUAGUAAUGGUUUCUAAGAUGCCAGUUUAGGAAAAUACAGUGACCCUGCUUCGAAUUCAGGAGUGCAUGAACCAUGCUGGUAUUACUCUGUCUCCAGUGACUGGGCACAUGCUGAACACAUAGAAGGCCCUUGAAGGAAUGAUGAGUUGAAAAAAAAUUCACUCCUUUCUUCUAGUGUGAUAGCCACAGCUCUUGGUCAUUCUUCCUCUGAACCAUAUUCAAUAAAGUCUGAUUGUUAAUAACAAGGCAUCAUUAUGCAUUUAUUGUGUGCUAGGUACAAGAUGACCAUUAUUUCAUUUGAUUAUUAAAUCAAUCUCAUGGCACCAGCAUUAUUACCAACAUUUUCAAAUAAAGAGGCUGGAUCUUAGGUCAGUAAUUUUCUCAGGAUAUCAUGGUACUGAAUAGCAAAUCUAGGUCUCUAAGACCUGGGUCUACUUAUUGAGUGCCUGGUAGGAGUGAGGC
rnacentral:lncRNA from 1 species